GUUAAACGUUUUAUUUAUUAAUAUAGCUGCACGCAUGUGCCAAUGGCUCACUGGCCUGUAUUCUUACCUCACAAUGGUGCAAGCAAAAGCUGCCACCUUCUCAAUACACAUCCGAGUAAAAUGCUUCGAAUGAGCUGCACCUGAAGCGACCUCGUUGUCCCAUAGUCAUGGACAGCAGCGAAGAUGAGCUCCCACCAGUUGUGGACACCUUUCUGCGAAAAGCUGCUGCCGCGCAGGUCACUGCGUCGCAAGCUCAAGGACUUGCGUUGCAACAGCGUGUUACAGGAACUCACACUGCUUGAAGGCCACUCAGUGAAAUGUGCAGUCCGAAGGAUAUUGGCCCACAGACGAGCUAGCCCAGCUACACAGUUGGAAACA